GGCGCGGUGGCGGAGUGGUUAACGCGACAGAUUAGAACCAUCUUCUAUGAUUAUCUGUUCCGAUUUUCGGGCGCAUGUUCGAAUCAUGCCCGCGUCG